rnacentral:rRNA from 1 species
UUCCAGCUCCAAUAGCGUAUAUUAAAGUUGUUGCGGUAAAAAAGCUCGUAGUUGGAUUUCUGUUGCGAAUGGCCGGUCUUCACUACGUGAAUGUAUCUGGUUCAAUCGUGGCAUCCUCAUAGGAAACGUUGCUGCGCUUCACUGCGUGGUGCGGUGCCUAUGACUUUUACUUUGAGGAAAUUAGAGUGUUCACGGCAGGCAAUCGCCCUGAAUAUGUUAGCAUGGGAAUAAUAAUAUAGGAUCUUGGUUCUAUUUUGUUGGUUUCUAGAGCUAAGAUAAUGGUUAAUAGGAACAAUUGGGGCAUUUGUAUUAACAUGUCAGAGGUGGAAUUUCUUUGGAUUAUGUUACGACAAACUACUGCGAAGCAUUUUGCCAAGGAUGUUUUCAUUGAUCAAGAACGAAAGUAAGGGGAUCGAAGAUGAUUAGAUACCGUCGUAGUCUUUACCAUAAACUAUGUCAACUCGGGAUGUAGCGUCGUUCUUUUAUGACUCGCUGC